rnacentral:rRNA from 1 species
AGAGUUUGAUCAUGGCUCAGGAUGAACGCUGGCGGCGUGCCUAACACAUGCAAGUCGAGCGAUGAGGCUCCCUUCGGGGAGUACAUCAGCGGCGGACGGGUGAGUAACACGUGGGUGACCUGCCCCGAAGACGGGGAUAACUUCUGGAAACAGAAGCUAAUACCCGAUGAACUCGGUAGUUCGGUCUACUGAGUAAAUGCUCCGGUGCUUCGGGAUGGGCCCGCGGCCCAUCAGCUAGUUGGUAGGGUAAUGGCCUACCAAGGCGAAGACGGGUAGGGGGCGUGAGAGCGUGACCCCCCACACUGGCACUGACACACGGGCCAGACUUCUACGGAAGGCAGCAGUGAGGAAUAUUGCGCAAUGGAGGAAACUCUGACGCAGCGACGCCGCGUGGGUGAUGAAGGCCCUCGGGUCGUAAAGCCCUUUUAUGGGGGAAGAGAAAGGACGGUACCCCAUGAAUAAGCCCCGGCUAACUACGUGCCAGCAGCCGCGGUAAAACGUAGGGGGCAAGCGUUAUCCGGUUUUACUGGGCGUAUAGAGCGUUGAGGCGGCUCUGUAAGUUGGCGUGAAACCCCGGGCCCA